AUCCACCUCCAGUUCUCUCUUAUACAGAACUAUAACAUAUACUGAGUAUUGCGAUCACGAUGAUGAAAGGUGCUCAUUUCCCUGCUACAACUGCUGCUUUUGCCCUACUGGCAUUGGCAACCUUCCACCUUGUCUCUGCCUCUGAUCCUAGUUCUCUCCAAGAUUUCUGUGUAGCACUUAAGAACACUGAUGUGUUUGUGAAUGGGAAAUUCUGCAAGGACCCAAAGCUUGUAACAGAAGACGAUUUCUUCUUUGACGGGCUCCGGAUGCCCGGAAACACAUCAAAUGCGGUUGGUUCCAAGGUCACCCCGGCGAAUGUGGAGCAAAUAGCAGGGCUGAACACUCUUGGGAUAUCCCUUGCUCGCAUAGACUAUGCACCAAAUGGCGGACUAAACCCUCCUCACACCCACCCUCGGGCCUCGGAGUUUCUUGUGGUCAUGGAAGGCACUCUCGUACGUUGGGCUUCGUCACAUCCAACUCUGACAACGGCAACAAGCUAUUCACCAAAGUGUUGUACCCUGGAGAUGUGUUUGUCUUCCCGGUUGGUCUUAUUCACUUCCAGUUCAACAUCGGAAAGGUCAAUGCCGUGGCCAUUGCCGGUCUUAGCAGCCAGAACCCAGGUGUCAUCACCAUAGCCAACGCCGUUUUCGGCUCCAAACCUCCGAUCAAGCUUGAUGUUCUCACCAAGGCCUUCCAAGUUGAAAGCAAUGUCGUUGAGUAUCUCCAGAACCAGUUCUGGUAUGACAACAACUGAGAACAUGCUAACAAUUGUAUCACGUACGAUACGAUGACCUUAUUUUAUCAUACAACACAUAAUCUAAGCUUUUGUAAAAAUAAGAUGGUAGUUGCUUAUAUGUAAUGUACCUCUUCCUUGAUCAGUGGAUUAUUGGAAUUUGAUUAUUAAUAAAUACUCGCAUCAUAUAAAGCGUUUUUG